UGGCUCAGUUGGUAGAGCAUGGCACUUGCAAUGCAAGGCUUGUGGGUUCGAUUCCCAU
rnacentral:tRNA from 1 species